AUUGAACGCUGGCGGCAGGCUUAACACAUGCAAGUCGAGCGAGCGGCCGACGGGUGAGUUAUUUCUGGGAAACUGCCUGAUGGAUGGGGAUAACUACUGGAAACGGUAGCUAAUACCGCAUACCAUCAGAUGUGCCCAGAUGGGGUUAGCUAGUGGGUGGGGUAAUGGCUCACCUAGGCGACGAUCCCUAGCGGGUCUGAGAGGAUGACCAGCCACACUGGAACUGAGACACGGUCCAGACUCCUACGGGAGGCAGCAGUGGGGAAUAUUGCACAAUGGGCGCAAGCCUGAUGCAGCCAUGCCGCGUGUGUGAAGAAGGCCUUCGGGUUGUAAAGCACUUUCAGCGAGGAGGCGUUACUCGCAGAAGAAGCACCGGCUAACUCCGUGCCAGCAGCCGCGGUAAUAC
rnacentral:rRNA from 1 species